UACGUAGGUGGCAAGCGUUGUCCGGAAUUAUUGGGCGUAAAGCGCGCGCAGGCGGUUCCUUAAGUCUGAUGUGAAAGCCCACGGCUCAACCGUGGAGGGUCAUUGGAAACUGGGGGACUUGAGUGCAGAAGAGGAGAGCGGAAUUCCACGUGUAGCGGUGAAAUGCGUAGAGAUGUGGAGGGACACCGGUGGCGAAGGCGGCAUUCUGGACCGACACUGACGCUGAGGCGCGAAAGCCAGGGGAGCAAACGGG
rnacentral:rRNA from 1 species